ACACAAAACAAGACAUUUUCAGGUGUAAAAAUUGAGUUGGUGGCCAAUGAAACACACGUCACUGUUUGCUUUGAGCGGGCAAAUUCUUGUAUUGAAGGAAUUUAUGGUAUCUUCUGGAGGAAAGCUGGAGGAGCAGGACUCUCGUGUGGCAUCCUGAAUUCUGGAGAAAAUGGAAGAGGUAACAUCAGUACUGAGAAGAAUGUUUGCUGUGAAGCAGAGACAGAUAUCUGGAGAAACAACCCUACCCUGAAGUGCUACACUCAAAAGUCACAUCCAAAACCCAAGGCACUGCCAGCUGGUGUUCCUGAGGGACUUCUAGGUAAUCCUGAAUCUCUCCCCAGCAAAAAGAACAGCAUUGGCAUCUUGCUCACAUUUGUGGUUGUUGCGGUUUGCUCAGGAUGGGCCACCACGCAUUACUUCUUGCGGCUGCGGGGUCGCCGAGGUUUUAGGCAAGGCAGACAGGUUCCUGACAGAGAAAUCCUGACACCUCUUUGAUAACCAUCUACAAGUGAGAAAAUCGCUCCACCAGCAGCAUCCUCCUCCUCUCCCGUGAUGUACAGCAACCAGCUGAACACAGACUGAUGUUCCAUGGGAACUCCUGUUCUUGUAUUCACAAAAAAUCCUGAUUUCACUAAUGUACCUUCACCACAUCCACACCUUCCCCAAGCACUGUGACUCUUGUCCACCUCCAGACCUUUGUGAGCAGCACAAACAGCACCAGGAGCCUCCAUCCUCUGCUGGUGCUUGGCUGCAGACAGCAGGCACCCAGGGCGUGUGGCUGUCUCAGCAGCACAGGCAGAAACCAGCUGAAUUCUCUGUGACUGAAAGACUGAACUGCUUCCCAUGUCCUCUGCAUGGUUUUCACAUGGUAAUUCCACAGCAUCACCCAGGUGUCUGUAUGUUUUUUAAUUCUCAGGCCAUCUCUGGAUUCACCAAAGACUUUUGCACAGCUGGCUGGUUGGUUCAGCUGGAGGAGUUUGGUUUUUUGAAGAGACAUUUGAUUUUUCCCCCACCCGCAGGCUGAGCACAUGUCUGCGUGCUUGUUCCUGUGCAGGGGUGGGUGGGAGGCUGUGUCCUUGAAUGAAUGGCAUUGGGUCACAGGGGCCUUGGCCUCCCCCCAGGCUGAACUGAACUCUGCUAUCAAUCUUCCUGACAAAUUAGGUAAGUUUAGACAAUGUACGAUGAAAACAGCCCCUCAGGAAUCCCAUUGGGUACUUGGUAUCUUUAAAUCAUUUCCCGUUCCCACCUGGUUUGAAUAAAUCCUCACCUUUUGCAUUGGAUCUAAUUUAGUAUCAGGACUGUUGAGCAAAAAUCAGUGGCAGCACAAGUUUAAAAGCAAAUUCCAACGCAAAUGUUUGCUGAGUCAUUUUUCCAUGGUUUGGUUCCCCAUAAACCUGUAGCUGAAACUUCCAGCAGGAAAUCCAAGAGGAUGUGGUAUAUUGUGUCCCUUUGAACUUUGCCUCAGUCAAAUCUAAAAGGAAAAGUUCUUAAUAUAAAAGGUCCAAAUAAUUUUAAUAAUUAAUUUUUAGGAAGAUAGAAGGGCCU